UACGAAGGGGGCUAGCGUUGCUCGCAAUCACUGGGCGUAAAGCGCACGUAGGCGGAUUGCUAAGUCAGGGGUGAAAUCCUGGAGCUCAACUCCAGAACUGCCCUUGAUACUGGCGGUCUCGAGUCCGGGAGAGGUGAGUGGAACUGCGAGUGUAGAGGUGAAAUUCGUAGAUAUUCGCAAGAACACCAGUGGCGAAGGCGGCUCACUGGCCCGGUACUGACGCUGAGGUGCGAGAGCGUGGGGAGUAAACAGG
rnacentral:rRNA from 1 species